rnacentral:misc_RNA from 1 species
GAUGAAGAACGUAGCGAAAUGCGAUAAGUAAUGUGAAUUGCAGAAUUCAGUGAAUCAUCGAAUCUUUGAACGCACCUUGCACCCUUUGGUAUUCCGAAGGGUAUGCUCGUUUUAGUGUCAUUGUACUCUCACACUUCUAAUUCCUUUCGGGAUUGGGAGCGGUGGACUUGGGUGUUGCUGCUUUAGUUGUGGCUCACCUCAAAUAAGUUAGUGCAACUCUUGGUUGGACAUAGUACGGCGUGAUAAGUGUCUUCGCCGGCGCCUCUGUAAGGAGGGUGGCCGAUCGGGAGCUCUGUGCUUCAAACCGUCUUCGGACAAUCUUUGACAACUUGACCUCAAAUCGAGUAGGACUACCCGCUGAACUUAAGCAUAUCAAUAAGCGGAGGA